rnacentral:rRNA from 1 species
UACGUAUGGGGCAAGCGUUAUCCGGAUUUACUGGGUGUAAAGGGAGCGUAGACGGUAAUGUAAGUCUGAUGUGAAAGCCCGGGGCUCAACCCCGGGACUGCAUUGGAAACUAUGUAACUAGAGUACCGGAGAGGUAAGCGGAAUUCCUAGUGUAGCGGUGAAAUGCGUAGAUAUUAGGAGGAACACCAGUGGCGAAGGCGGCUUACUGGACGGAAACUGACGUUGAGGCUCGAAAGCGUGGGGAGCAAACAGG